GUGAGUAAUGUCUGGGAAACUGCCUGAUGGAGGGGGAUAACUACUGGAAACGGUAGCUAAUACCGCAUAANGUCGCAAGACCAAAGAGGGGGACCUUCGGGCCUCUUGCCAUCGGAUGUGCCCAGAUGGGAUUAGCUAGUAGGUGGGGUAACGGCUCACCUAGGCGACGAUCCCUAGCUGGUCUGAGAGGAUGACCAGCCACACUGGAACUGAGACACGGUCCAGACUCCUACGGGAGGCAGCAGUGGGGAAUAUUGCACAAUGGGCGCAAGCCUGAUGCAGCCAUGCCGCGUGUAUGAAGAAGGCCUUCGGGUUGUAAAGUACUUUCAGCGGGGAGGAAGGCGAUAAGGUUAAUAACCUUGUCGAUUGACGUUACCCGCAGAAGAAGCACCGGCUAACUCCGUGCCAGCAGCCGCGGUAAUACGGAGGGUGCAAGCGUUAAUCGGAAUUACUGGGCGUAAAGCGCACGCAGGCGGUCUGUCAAGUCGGAUGUGAAAUCCCCGGGCUCAACCUGGGAACUGCAUUCGAAACUGGCAGGCUAGAGUCUUGUAGAGGGGGGUAGAAUUCCAGGUGUAGCGGUGAAAUGCGUAGAGAUCUGGAGGAAUACCGGUGGCGAAGGCGGCCCCCUGGACAAAGACUGACGCUCAGG
rnacentral:rRNA from 1 species